UGCCUCUGUGGUGGAUAGUGGAGUGUUUCCCAUGUGGUAUUGGUGUGCUGUAUAUCCCUUCCCUGGUAGCCUGGUAACAUACACUCCCAGGUCUUUCUCUGCCUCUGUAGUGGAUAGUGGAGUGUUUCCCAUGUGGUAUUGGUGUGCUGGAUAUCCCUUCACUGGUAGCCUGGUAACAUACACUCCCAGGUCCUUCUCUGCCUCUGUGGUGGAUAGUGGAGUGUUUCCCAUGUGGUAUUGGUGUGCUGGAUAUCCCUUCACUGGUAGCCUGGUAACAUACACUCCCAGGUCUUUCUCUGCCUCUGUGGUGGAUAGUGGAGUGUUUCCCAUGUGGUAUUGGUGUGCUGGAUAUCCCUUCACUGGUAGCCUGGUAACAUACACUCCCAGGUCUUUCUCUGCCUCUGUGGUGGAUAGUGGAGUGUUUCCCAUGUGGUAUUGGUGUGCUGGAUAUCCCUUCACUGGUAGCCUGGUAACAUACACUCCCAGGUCUUUCUCUGCCUCUGUGGUGGAUAGUGGAGUGUUUCCCAUGUGGUAUUGGUGUGCUGGAUAUCCUCUCCCAAGGUGCAGGA